AAUAUUCAUACGAAGAAAAAAGGGAAAAGAGUCAAUAAAAUGUUCAUUAAAAUGUCUUGUUUAUUCUUCACGGGAAGUAACUCACUUUUUUUUUUCAAGUUCUUCAAAGUUGAGGUAAAACUACUUUUGUCUUCUGGACAAUACAGGAGAAUUAUAAAAAACAAUGAGAUUUUAAAAUAUCUAUAGUUAAGCCUCCUUAUGUGCUCUCUUAGCAUUGUAUACUCUCAGUCCCUGGAUAUAGAUCUCUAAUGAAAAUGUGUAAUUUAUUAAACAAGUUUUAAUCAUUUAAUUACUAUUGGAUCCAUUUAAGGCAAUCGUAUUUCCAAAAAGAGUCUUAAAAGUGUUGAGUCAACCUAAAUUAAUGGUCAAAUUUUCCAUUAUAAGACACCAAAAGUGCUAAAUCAAUGGUCAUUAAGCAAAUAACAGACAAUUGUCCCCUAACUAAACAAACAUUUAAAUUUUACAUUUAAAGUAUCGUUUCAUUAAUGAGAAAUGAUAGAACUCUAUCGAAUUACAGCAAAAGAAAAACUGCAGGUUACCAAUAACACAAUAAAGAAAAAGUAACAGGUACUAAAGGAGACCAUGCAAAGAUGAAGGUUUGCUUUCUUCUUGCCACUUUGAAUUUGUAACUAAGUGCUUUUCCUAAAAUGCGAGAUCAUCAGUGAUGUGAAAAGAUAACACACACAUUCAUUAUAUUACUUAGUAUGGGGUCACAGACAUGACACUGUUACCUAUUACGUGCAAGACACAAAUCAGAAUAUUGGCAUGUUUUACAAUUUAAGAUUUACAGAAAUUACAGCAGCAAACUAUGUCUUACGCAAAUUUGGACUUAAAAUCAAAGACAAAAAAUAAGGGUUAAGAAUUUUAUUUUAAAUGGUGAUAGCCCAAUCUGUAAUCAACCUAUGUUGUGAUACGUUUAUGUUUUUUGGUGUCUUUUUUAUGACAAAAAAAGGAAAAACAAAAAUAACUUGCUGCCAAAUAUGAGUACCAAAGUUCAUAAAUAAGUAUACAAAUAAAGCAUUUCCAUCACCAUUAUGAUUGUUCAAUUUUAAAAAUGAUACA